rnacentral:rRNA from 1 species
AUACGAAGGGGGCAAGCGUUGUUCGGAAUAACUGGGCGUAAAGCGCACGUAGGCGGAAUGUUAAGUUAGAGGUGAAAUCCCAGGGCUCAACCCUGGAACGGCCUUUAAUACUGGCAAUCUAGAGACCGAGAGAGGUGAGUGGAAUUCCGAGUGUAGAGGUGAAAUUCGUAGGUAUUCGGAGGAACACCAGUGGCGAAGGCGGCUCACUGGCUCGGUACUGACGCUGAGGUGCGAAAGCGUGGGGAGCAAACAGGAUUAGAAACCCUAGUAGUCC